AGGGUGGUUGCCAGGAGCUGAGGGGAGAAGGAAUUGUGCAGUUAGUGAAACAGCUAUUGUUACACUAACAGAGCCCAUUAUCUCUCAAAGUUGUAGAAUGAAAUCACGGACAGAAAAGACACUAAAGGAUGGGUGUUUAAUGGAAAUACAAGAAGGUUUAGACUCCAUGUUGCUGUAUGAAGUGCCUUGGGGCACUGGAGAGACGGCCAGCAAGCGUACUGCUGGAUCCACUGGACUUGGGGUCCACCACUUCAGAAAGUGGUAGAGAGGACAUCACGUGAUAGAAGAGAUGGUCACCAUCCCUGUGAUGACAAAGGAGGAAUUCCACAUGACCCAUGGCAUACUUCAAGUGAAGCAGCUCUGUAAGGAUAAAAGGCUCAAUUCUAUAUCUCAAUAAAUAAUUAUCACCAA
rnacentral:lncRNA from 1 species